rnacentral:rRNA from 1 species
UACGUAGGGACCGAGCGUUGUCCGGAUUCAUUGGGCGUAAAGAGCUCGUAGGCGGCCACUCAAGUCGAAUGUGAAACCUCGAGGCUUAACCUCGAGCCUGCAUUUGAUACUGGGCGGCUAGAGUCUGGUAGGGGGAUCUGGAAUUCCUGGUGUAGAGGUGGAAUGCGCAGAUAUCAGGAGGAACACCGGUGGCGAAGGCGGGAUCCUGGGCCAGUACUGACGCUGAGGAGCGAAAGCGUGGGGAGCAAACAGG